rnacentral:rRNA from 1 species
AAUAGAUACCCGGGUAGUCCACGCCGUAAACGAUGAGUGCUAAGUGUUAGGGGGUUUCCGCCCCUUAGUGCUGCAGCUAACGCAUUAAGCACUCCGCCUGGGGAGUACGGUCGCAAGACUGAAACUCAAAGGAAUUGACGGGGGCCCGCACAAGCGGUGGAGCAUGUGGUUUAAUUCGAAGCAACGCGAAGAGCCUUACCAGGUCUUGACAUCCCGUUGACCACUGUAGAGAUAUAGUUUCCCCUUCGGGGGCAACGGUGACAGGUGGUGCAUGGUUGUCGUCAGCUCGUGUCGUGAGAUGUUGGGUUAAGUCCCGCAACGAGCGCAACCCUUGAUCUUAGUUGCCAUCAUUUAGUUGGGCACUCUAAGGUGACUGCCGGUGACAAACCGGAGGGAGGUGGGGAUGACGUCAAAUCAUCAUGCCCCUUAUGACCUGGGCUACACACGUGCUACAAUGGACGAUACAAACGGUUGCCAACUCGCGAGAGGGAGCUAAUCCGAUAAAGUCGUUCUCAGUUCGGAUUGUAGGCUGC